rnacentral:rRNA from 1 species
AUGAACGGCCUCUUCUGGAAUUGUAGAGGAGCAGGUAAGAGAGGGAGAGCUACCUGCUUCUCUGACAUUAUUAGAGAUCACUCUCUCGACUUUUUAGGAAUCCUUGAAACAAAGAAGGAGAAAUUUGCACCUAAAUAACUGAGAAAAGUGGAUCCCUUUGAUAGAUUUACAUGGAAUUGGUCCCCUUCCAGUGGUAAGUCUGGUGGCAUCCUUUGUGGUGUCAGGAAAGAAACCUUGAAUGUUGUAUCUUGGAUGGUGGGUAAGUACCUACUGCAGGUGUCCGUCUAUGAUACUAAGCUCAAAAGUAUCUUGACCCUAGUUGUAGUAUAUGGAGCAGCACAGGAUGAGUUGAGGGAUGAAUUCCUUGAUGAAUUGACCUCUUGUUGCGACAACAUCAAAACUCCUUAUGUUAUCGGGGGAGAUUUCAACAUUCUUCGGGACAGUAGUGACAAAAACAAGCCCUUACAUAGAUCGCAGUAUGUGGGCAGAUUUAACAAUACCAUCCACUCUCUGAAUCUUAGAGAGAUUCAUAUGGGAGGGGGUAGGUUCACUUGGACCAAUAAACAAAGACAUCCAGUGCUCGAGAAGCUCGACAGAGUUCUCAUGAGCCCUGAUUGGGAGGAUCUUUUUCCUCUUGUUGCGGCUCGUAAAUUAGUAAGAGAUGUUUCAGACCAUAAUCCUUUACUGUUGACAACA